UACGGUCACAUCACGUUUCAAACCGGUUAACGUACGAUCACCAAAGUUAAGGAACCUCGAACCUGGUCAGUACCAAGAUGGGUGACAACUUGGGAAUGCCAAGUGCUGCAA